UUACUCGCAUCACUUUCCUUUCUCUCUCUAUAAAUUACACGCGCCGCUCGCGCCUGAACAAAACAAACAAAAAGUCAAAUUAUCAGACACACACACCACAAGAACUCGCCUCUGUGUUUCAUCUUCUUCUUCUUUUACGUGUUCCUCUCUCUAUCUCUCUCUAUCCAAUCCGUUUCCAGAUCUGUAUCUCUCUAUGGCCGGCCAAAGGAAUGACUACGGCAAGAGAUCCAAUUCCCAUUCUGACUACGGCGGAGGCAAGCGGAGGAAUCCCGGCGACGAUCCUGACCAGCCGCGUACGAUUGGAAGCGACGACACCGUCUACCGCUACUUAUGCCCACUGAGGAAGAUUGGGAGUAUAAUUGGGCGAGGCGGAGAGAUAGCUAAGCAAUUGAGGUCGGAGAGUAAAUCUAGCAUUAGAAUUAGCGACUCUAUGCCAGGGUUUGAGGAGCGCAUUGUUACCAUUUACAGCUCUUCUGAGGAGACUAAUCUGUUUGGAGAUACUGGCGAGUUUGUUUCCCCUGCUCAGGAUGCUCUUUUCAUGGUUCAUGAUAGGAUUGUUGCUGAGGACCUGCCGCCUAAUAAUAAUAACGAUGGGGAUGAUGAAUUUGGGGAUCCUCAACAGGUUACUGUUAGAAUGCUUGUGCCUUCUGAUCAGAUUGGUUGUGUUAUUGGGAAAGGUGGACAAGUGAUUCAGAAUAUAAGGAGCGAAACCCGCGCUCAGAUUCGUAUUCUGAAGGAUGAGCAUCUGCCUCCUUUGGCUUUGAGUAGUGAUGAGCUUCUCCAGAUUAUUGGAGAGCCUGCCAUUGUUAGAAAGGCUCUUUAUCAAGUUUCUUCACGCCUUCAUGAGAAUCCAUCUCGAUCCCAGCACCUUCUUUUGUCUUCUUCAACCAACAUGUAUCAAUCCGGUGGCAUGGUGAUGACCGCAAAUGCUGGUGCCCCUCUAAUGGGUCUUUAUGGAAAUUAUAAAGGUGGAUGGUCAUCAUCUUUUUACUCUGACCAGAGAGAUGAAGCUUCUGCUAAAGAGUUCUCUCUUCGUAUGGUGUGCCCCAUUGGAAAUAUUGGAGGUGUCAUUGGAAAAGGUGGUGGUAUCAUUAAGCAAAUUCGUCAGGAAUCCAGGGCUUCCAUCAAAGUUGAUAGUUCAGGUGCUGAAGGUGACGACUGUAUUAUAUUUAUAUCAGCAAAGGAGUUUUUUGAAGACCAAUCUCCAACACUCAAUGCAGCACUGCGAUUGCAACCACGAUGCAGUGAAAAAAGUGAAAGGGAAUCAGGUGAUUCUGUAAUUACCACUCGUCUACUUGUGCCAAGGUCACAAAUUGGUUGCCUUAUGGGUAAAGGAGGGGCUAUUAUUUCUGAAAUGAGGAGUAUAACAAGGGCAAGCAUUCGGAUUCUCUCAGAGGACAAUCUUCCCAAGGUUGCUUCUGAGGAUGAUGAGAUGGUGCAGAUCACCGGCAGCCUAGAUGUUUCUAGCAAUGCUCUUUUACAUGUUAUUUUGAGGUUGAAAGCCAAUUUAUUUGGAAGGGAUGGAGCACUAAGUGCAAUUCCACCAACUCUUCCAUAUAUUCCCGUUUCAAUGGAUGUAUUAGAUGGGCAAAAAUAUGGGAGCCGAGAUAAUCAAUCACGUGGACGUGGAUACUCUUCAGCUGGUGCAUACAGUUCUCGUGAUGUGCCCCCAAUUGAAAAUUAUGGGAAUAGUGGUAGUUCACUGAGCGGUGGUGAGAGUGGGUAUGGCGGCUUAUCUUCUGGUCGUUCAGGGUUAUCUGGUCAAAACUCAAUUAACCAAAGAAAGCAUCAUGGAUAUUAGUCCCAUUGUAUGACGAACAGGUUUGUUUCUUAAGCUUUGGGGGGAAUGAUGAGGAAAGCUACAGUUUGCUUUGGAGGUAAUUUUGCAUAAUGCUCUUUGAGUUGAUUCACAGACUGUUGACAUGGUGAGGAUAUGACUCAAGGGCAGGUUUGAUUUAUCAGGUUUCCCUUGGCAUCAAGAGAAAGGAGGGAAACGUUGUGAAGACGUUUGCAUUAGUUGAUGAAGAUGUUCAUGAUGAGAAGGUUAAGCAAACCAGGUGGGUCUAUUCCAUUCCCAUAAUAACUAAUCCUCUUCAAAACUCUGAAAACUAAUUGAAAUUAGUGCCACUUUACUAAUGCAGCAUCAUUUUGCAUUAGAAAAAAUAAUAAAGAGAAAAAGUAGCACACCUUAUUUUAAUUGUUACGACUAAUUAUUAGUAUCCAUUUGUUUGAUAUUCCUCCAUUGACUUAACUAUUUAUUCAGAUUUUUUUCAUAUAUUUAUUUUAUGUAUAAAUAAAUUAUACUAUCUCGGCCAACUGAAAAUGCCAAAUGGCUUUGCCUCAUGAAUACUCAAUGCUCAUGUAAGAGAAAAUAAUGCAAUGUAUUGGAGAUAA